UACAGAGGUCUCAAGCGUUGUUCGGAUUCAUUGUGCGUAAAGGGUGCGUAGGCGGCGCGGUAAGUCGGGUGUGAAAUCUCGGAGCUUAACUCCGAAACUGCAUUCGAUACUGCCGUGGCUUGAGGACUGGAGAGGAGACUGGAAUUUACGGUGUAGCGGUGAAAUGCGUAGAUAUCGUAAGGAAGACCAGUGGCGAAGGCGGGUCUCUGGACAGUUCCUGACGCUGAGGCACGAAGGCCAGGGGAGCAAACGGG
rnacentral:rRNA from 1 species